GCCCGGCUAGCUCAGUCUGUAGAGCAUGAGACUCUUAAUGACAGGGUCGUGGGUUCGAGCCCCACGAUGGGCG
rfam:Danio rerio unplaced genomic contig NA704, GRCz11 reference primary assembly.